rnacentral:rRNA from 1 species
UCGAGGAUCUUCCGCAAUGGGCGCAAGCCUGACGGAGCGAUGUCGCGUGAGGGACGAAGGCCUUCGGGUCGUAAACCUCUGUCGCCCGGGACGAAGAAGUGACGGUACCGGGAGAGGAAGCCAUGGCUAACUACGUGCCAGCAGCCGCGGUAAUACGUAGAUGGCGAGCGUUAUUCGGAUUCACUGGGCGUAAAGGGUCCGCAGGGGGCCGGGGCAGCCGGACGUGAAAUGCUGGAGCUCAACUCCAGAAGUGCGUCCGGGACUUCCCGGCUAGGGAUGGCGAGGGGUUGGCGGAAUUCCCGGUGUAGCGGUGGAAUGCGUGGAUAUCGGGAGGAACACCCAUGGCGAAGGCGGCCAACUGGCGCCCAUCCGACCCUCAGGGACGAAAGUGCGGGUAGCA